GCCUGGCCGGCGCGGCGCCCGGAGGAGACGCGGGCGGAGGCGGAGACAUGGCGCUGGGCAUACCCAGUGCUUUGAGAACUACAGAGUUGGGCAAAGUUCCUGUCCUGUGGAGAUUCCAAUUGGAAAAAUCCUCUACACACAACCGAGGCUGGCAGAAUAGCAGUUGAUCCACAGUGGGAGCCCAGAGAAUGAAGUGGGUUUGAAGGUCUUAACUAGAUGAGCCAGCUACUCUUGGAUCUCAGAGUCCUCUAAUGAUCUUGCAGUGAUACUAGAUCCCACUGGAUGAAGUCAGGAGAUCUAGGUUCACCUCUUGGCCUGACUACAAAUCCUUGUAUGUCCUUGGAUAGCUAAUUGGCAGACAGAGGCCUCGAGGGUUUUGGUUUGGUGCCAUCAGACUCCAACUGAUUGCAGCAGUGGUGUUCUUCCCCAGACAAUGACUUCAGUAGCUUCAGGGCAGCACUGAGCCUCCUAACAAACAGCUCUCCCUGAAGUAAUUGUGCUGGCUUGAAGAUGCAGGACACGAUGUCAGCAACUCUGCAACCAACAGCUUUUACUUUCUCUACAAUGUUUAUUUGAGUCACGGUCUUCCACUCGCCCAGAUUCCUCUCUAAAGAAGCCUGCCCAGUCCUGCAUAUUGUGUACCAGACAGUCAUUCAGACCACUGAGACAAAUACGUAGGCAAAUCCACCUGAUAGCCAGUGGCUGCUUUCGACCAGGGCUGAACAUGCAAUGCCAAAACAAGGAGAAGACAGGAUGCUUUGGGAGGCAAAUACACAGUAUUUCCUCCCCACUGACCUUCAUUAGACUCUGCCACCACCUAAGCUGAGUCCCUAACAAUCACUGCGGGUAUAAUUUUAGAAAGAACUGGAAAAAGGGAAACCUUUCCUGUAACUUUCAGUUGGCAGAGUACAUCACUGUGUUUCUGCCUGCUGGCUCUUGACUUGUAUCCCACAUGCCUUGGAAAGCAGAGAAAGGAAAACAGAAGAGGAGCAAGUGAAGGAAAAGGAGGCCAACAGCUGAGGACUCCGUUCCCCAAAUCUGCUGGUGAUGAGAAGAAUCAGCUGCUGUAGCAGUUCACAGCAUUGAAGGGUUGCUCUGAUCUCUUUUCUGGAACAACAGUUUGCUUGCUAAGAGGUGAGCACAGGAGACUUAAUGGAAAGAAGUGAGCUCUGAUCUUCUGUCCAGUAUCAUCAGACACUGCUUCUGCUGUCAUUUCCCCUACCUUGCACAUGAGACGUGAGGGGCUGAACACACGGUAGAAAGAGCCUGAACAGAUCAGGCAAAGUAGCACAUCCUCCAGUUGCUCAAAGGAACAUAGAACAUAGACUAGGGCAUAGAACAUAGGCUAUGAAUUUGAGGAAAGACUCUCUUAAAAGAGAGAAGUUGAGGGGAAACAAGGAUAGCAGGCAGCCUGGUAGAUUGGAUAACAAGGAAUUUUGCAAGCAGACAACUUGUGCUAAGUAAGGUGGCUGGUAGGGGGAUGAAUGCAAAGCUGGAAAUUCAGAAAGAGAUGUAUACACAGCAUUUAGUUCUUUUGUGAUUUAAUCCAAAAUCAUUUACUGUUCGCCAUUUUUCAUAAUGUCCUAGUUCUCAUGUCAUAUGAUUAUGUGAGGCUUUCAACCUUCAAUUGAAAAUGCUUCUACUGGUUCUUCAGGCCACAGAGAAAAGCUUGCAAAAGACAACCCCACUGGAAAGACUGAAAGCCCAGCAUGCAGACUGAAUCUCUUUGACAUAAUGCAUUGGCUUCCUAUUGAUGUUUGUCAGGUUGUUUUUUGAAGUCAGCAAGACCCAGUCAGAGCUGCAGCAAGUAUUUGGGUUUUUAGGCCACAUAUUUUACCCGAAAUGUGGUAAAUCUGUGGGAGGAUGAGGGAACAGCCCAGAAAUGGCAUCAUUUUGACACAUGGAAGACAGCAAUUCAGAUAUUUCACAGCAUGUGUCCCAAGUGACUGGGAUUCGUCCAUGGAGGACAAGAGGAGGAGAAAAACAGCAGCACUGAGAAAGGUUAUUCCAGUCUCUAAUAUGGCUCCGCAGACCAGGAAGGACAGGCAGUUCCGUCUGGUCCUCCAGUGUUCUUUCUGUGGCUCACUACGGUCUCCACCUCGACUCACUGCAUGGGAUCCCUAACUGGAAAUGUUCUUUCUAAUCCAGUCGUUCCUUACUGCUGUGAACCAUACUGGUUAUGUGAAAGAAGUCAGGUUUGUGCCUCCGUGUUGUUUGAAAUGCAAUGCAUUUUGAAUUACUCACACAUGGAAGUAGUAGGCAGUAUAAUGCAAGCAUAGAGCAAGCACAAUGUACUACGUGAGGAUCAGCUUAACAUGUUGGAUCAGUGACACUGCAGCAUAACACAAACCAUUUAUUCCUUUUCACAGCUGUUCUCUCAAGCAUUUUAAGCAUACAUUCUCCCUCAGCAUGCAGGAGAUUUACAUAUUUUACUUCCAUUGACAUGGUAGGAGAGACCCUCCUCACUUCCAGAUUUGUUCUUUUAAUAGGCAUCCAGCACAAAUGUGAAUUAAGUACAUGUGUAUCCAACAGAGUGUAGACCAGAACCAGCUGUAAGCACAAAUAACUUCUUAGGAGGCCUGUUUUUUUUUGUGCUGAUUUGGUAACUCACAGGAUGGCCAAAUCUUCCUUUUUAGGAAUGAGAAGAAGAGGAAAGGAGGAGGACCUUAUCUCCAGAUUGUAUCACCCGUGGAAGAGAAAAGUCAACAGGGACAGAAUGCUUCACAUGAGGUUCUCCUCUCCCCUCUGGAGCAGCUGGAGCAAAUAAGGUUCAUCAUGGGCAAAUGAGAGCUCAUUUUGUGUCUGCUUAGAGCUGGCAGAGAAGUUUGGGUGUUUCAGGCCCCAAACCAAGUGUGAUAACUUGGUCGUGUGACUUAGCGAUUAAAGUUGGAUUCUUCAAGGUACUGAAUGCCUGUGGCAUAAAGAUGCUUGUGUCAGUCUUGGUUAUCUUACACUCAAAACUCUUUCAAAUCAUAAAUCUAAGUCAAAUGUAUUGCAAAUGGUGGAAGGACAAUGUGGAUUUUGGGAGGGAUGAGAGAGACAGUUAAGGCUCUGUACAUGUUGCUAUCAAGAAAAGCAGAGGUGAGCCUUCAGCACUGUAUAAUGAUAAUAUGCUUUAGCAAUGUCCUUCUAGAACUAGCUGUGCAAAAAGUUAAAUCUUGAAAGACAAAAUAAAACAAUAUUAGGAAAAAAGAAGUGGCAAUGACUUGAGCCCUUAAUUCAAUGCCAACGGCAUUUCAGUGCAAGCCGUUUCCCAGAGGAUUAUCAAGA